AAAUGUAAAUUCUUUUAAACUAAUUACAUGUAUGAAAAACUUAUUUCACUUUUGUCAAUAAUCUCUAGGUAAUAAAAGUUGCUUAUUGCUGAUGGUGUUUUUCAAUCUUUUUUUUUUUAUUGCAAUUGAUGUUAUUGAAAGAAUUUUUCUUGUUCUAUUUUUACUGUAAUUUUUGGGGAAAGACGGCUUCAAGCCGUCAAUUCCCUAAUGGGGUUGGCCAGAGUAUCAUUCCCUCACGUCAAUCAUUUUGUUUUGAUAGUUUGGAAACCCCCUCAAAAUGUCGUACUGAAAUUGAUGAAAAGGAGAACAGAUUGACUUUAAAUACAUUUUUUACACAUUUCCCUUCUGUUUCUCAUGAAAUUGUCGUAUAUUGAGCUUUCCCUUACACUACAUACGUUUCUUUUACAGUCCGGAAAAAUCAGUAUUACGAAAUAUUCUAAAUAUAUCUAACCUAGUCACGGACGUCAUUGUUGGAAUGCCACACUACACAGGGAUAUCCUUUAUUCAUUAUAAAAAUCAUUCACAGUAUUUGUAUACUAUAAAUUUAAAAUCUGUAUUUGUUAAAUAUAAACCUAAUGAUGUUUGCUGUAGUGUAGAUGAUUCACACACCAACAUGCAAUGCUUUAAUCUGAGGCUAUAAUCAGAUAAUAUGUAGGUCAACUUUCGCGGUAAACAAUGUCAUGGGGAUACAUGAGAUUGGGGAGAGAAACGGCAGUUUUCAUUGUUUCUGUAAAGUUUUGUUUUGAGAAUCUUCCUCCAAUUCAGGAGCACUUCAAUUGAUGAGUAAUUUUACACUAAAAUUAAAGUAAAUGUUUCUGAACAUUUAAAAUG
rnacentral:lncRNA from 1 species